AGAGAGAGAGAGAGAGAAAGAGAGAGAGAGAAGAGAGAGAGUGAGAAAUUACGGUGAUUUUGAAAAAGAGACAAACAGAGUGUGUAGGAGAUAGGAAAUGCAUGGAAUAGAGGAAGAGAGGAAUAGAGGAAUAGAAUUUUAGAGGAAUAGAGAAGAAGUAAAAAGACGAGCAGUAGAUAGAACGACGAAAGCCAAGCUUCGAAGUAAAAGCGAAUACUUUGCCAUCAUGACUUAUAUACAACGCUUCAACUCCUUUGGAUAUCCUUACACGAUCUUCAUCGGAUUCAUGGCAGCUAUGAACGUUGCACAAGGCACGAA
rnacentral:lncRNA from 1 species